rnacentral:rRNA from 1 species
CCUACGGGAGGCAGCAGUGGGGAAUUUUGGACAAUGGGCGCAAGCCUGAUCCAGCCAUGCCGCGUGUGGGAAGAAGGCCUUCGGGUUGUAAACCACUUUUGUCAGGGAAGAAACGGUUUGUCCUAAUACGGCGGACUAAUGACGGUACCUGAAGAAUAAGCACCGGCUAACUACGUGCCAGCAGCCGCGGUAAUACGUAGGGUGCAAGCGUUAAUCGGAAUUACUGGGCGUAAAGCGUGCGCAGGCGGCUUUGCAAGACAGAUGUGAAAUCCCCGGGCUCAACCUGGGAACUGCAUUUGUGACUGCAUGGCUAGAGUACGGUAGAGGGGGAUGGAAUUCCGCGUGUAGCAGUGAAAUGCGUAGAUAUGCGGAGGAACACCGAUGGCGAAGGCAAUCCCCUGGACCUGUACUGACGCUCAUGCACGAAAGCGUGGGGAGCAAACAGGAUUAGAUACCCUGGUAGUCCACGACCUAACGAUGUCACUGUUGUUGGUACGGUCGUUGUCGUGUUCGUAGUAACGUAACGACGUAACGUACGUAGAGUUAGUACCGCCGUCGGGAGGGUAACGGGUCCGGCCGUUAGGUUAGUAAACGUUACGAAAGGAAGUUAGUUACGGCGUGGAGGACGUUGCCGACGGACGACGACGAGGGAGGAGG